rnacentral:rRNA from 1 species
GACGAACGCUGGCGGCGUGCUUAACACAUGCAAGUCGAACGGUGAAGCGCCUUCCUUUUUGGUUGGUGUGGAUGAGUGGCGAACGGGUGAGUAACACGUGAGUAACCUGCCCCCUUCUUCUGGAUAACCGCAUGAAAGUGUGGCUAAUACGGGAUAUUCUGGGUCUGUCGCAUGAUGGGUCUGGGAAAGAUGUUGUUUCGGGGGGGGAUGGGCUCGCGGCCUAUCAGCUUGUUGGUGGGGUGAUGGCCUACCAAGGCGGUGACGGGUAGCCGGCCUGAGAGGGUAGACGGUCACACUGGGACUGAGACACGGCCCAGACUCCUACGCGAGGCAGCAGUGUGGAAUAUUGAACAAUGGGCGAAAGCCUGAUGCAGCGACGCCGCGUGAGGGAUGGAGGCCUUCGGGUUGUGAACCUCUUUCGCCAGUGAAGCAGGCCUGCCUCGUUUGUGGGUGGGUUGACGGUAGCUGGAUAAGAAGCGCCGGCUAACUACGUG